rnacentral:rRNA from 1 species
AAGUCGAACGAACUUAACUCAUUCUUUUAGAUUGAGAGCGGUUAGUGGCGGACUGGUGAGUAACGCGUAAGGAACCUGCCUUUUAGAGGGGAAUAACAAUGAGAAAUCAUUGCUAAUACCGCAUAUGCCAUAAUUAUCACAUGAUAAUAGUGGGAAAGGAGCAAUUCGCUAAAAGAUGGCCUUGCGUCUGAUUAGAUAGUUGGUAAGGUAACGGCUUACCAAGUCGACGAUCAGUAGCCGGACUGAGAGGUUGAACGGCCACAUUGGGACUGAGAUACGGCCCAGACUCCUACGGGAGGCAGCAGUCGGGAAUAUUGCGCAAUGGAGGAAACUCUGACGCAGUGACGCCGCGUAUAGGAAGAAGGUUUUCGGAUUGUAAACUAUUGUCGUUAGGGAAGAGAAAGGACAGUACCUAAGGAGGAAGCUCCGGCUAACUACGUGCCAGCAGCCGCGGUAAUACGUAGGGAGCGAGCGUUAUCCGGAAUUAUUGGGUGUAAAGGGUGCGUAGACGGGAAAGCAAGUUAGUUGUGAAAUCCCUCGGCUUAACUGAGGAACUGCAACUAAAACUACUUUUCUUGAGUGCAGGAGAGGUAAGUGGAAUUCCUAGUGUAGCGGUGAAAUGCGUAGAUAUUAGGAGGAACACCAGUGGCGAAGGCGGCUUACUGGACUGUAACUGACGUUGAGGCUCGAAAGCGUGGGGAGCAAACAGGAUUAGAUACCCUGGUAGUCCACGCCGUAAACGAUGACCACUAGGUGU